rnacentral:sRNA from 1 species
GUGGCUGUGGUGGGGCGAUGGCGGAGCGCGGCCCGGCCUUCUGCGGCCUGUACGACACGUCCUCGCUGCUGCAAUACUGCAACGAUGACAAUUUGUCGGGCACGAGCGGUAUGGAAGUGGACGACCGCGUGUCGGCGCUGGAGCAGCGGCUGCAGUUACAGGAAGACGAGCUGGCGGUCCUAAAGGCGGCGCUGGCGGAUGCUCUGCGUCGCCUGCGGGCGUGCGAAGAACAGGGAGCAGCGCUACGCGCGCGGGGCACCCCCAAGGGCCGGGCGCCUCCGCGCUUAGGCACCACUGCCUCGGGUAUCCCCGUUAGACUGGAGGGGUGGGAUGGGGAGGACCGGGGCCUGGUCCUCAUACUCACCCUCUUCUGUCCCCUAACCCCAUCCCUCCAGUGUGUCAGCUCUUGAAAGGCCUUCCCACCAGGACGCCCCUUAAUGGCUCGGGACCCCCGCGGCGCGUGGGUGGCUAUGCCACGUCCCCAUCCUCUCCCAAGAAGGAGGCGACCUUCGGGCGCAGCAGUGUCCGCCGCUACUUGUCACCAGAGCGUCUCGCCUUGGUGCGCCGCGAGGACCCCCGCAGCCGGACCACAUCCU